UUUGUGUACGAUUGGUCCUCGGGUGCCAAAACAAUCAGAGGGGGUGCUUGAUUUGUUUUAAUUACCCAGAAUUGCAAUGGUUCUUGGACGUGACCGGGCAGAGGUGCUCUGUCACAGUGGUGUCAUUACUGCUGUAAAUACCUCUUUCAUGAUGUUUUUGACAGUUAGCGUCAGCUAGUUUUUUUACAUUUUUCUUUCCUCUUUUUUUCUCUCUCGUUCCCCCUCUCCCUGAAGCUGUUUUCUACCAGUGACAUUUUCCCCCCCUUGAUGCGCCGUUAACGCUCCGAGGCUUCUAAGAAUAUCUUCAAAUGCCUCUUACCCGGGGGAGUGGAGUUCUCUCUUGUCAUUGUUUAAAAGGCCCUACAAGCAGCGAGACAAUUACUCUUACAACAGCCAGUCAGUGGCCUGAAAUCUCCAAAGAACAAGGACAAACAGUGUCCACUGCAGGUGAGCAGCAUGGUCACUAAUCUCUCAAAUCCAUCCAUAAUACAUGGUGUCUCUGAAAGAAGAUUUCCUCUGCUCCA
rnacentral:lncRNA from 1 species